CACCUAACAGCUAGCCCCCACCCUAAACACAAAAAACAACUAUCAAUACCCCCUAAGACACUCCUUACCAACGAAACAAACCAUUUUUCCCCCCAAGUACGGGCGACAGAAAAG
rnacentral:rRNA from 1 species